rnacentral:rRNA from 1 species
GAUGAACGCUGGCGGCGUGCAUAACACAUUCAAGUCGAACGGUGAAGGGGCUUCGGCCCCUGAUCAGUGGCGGACGGGUGAGUAACGCGUGGGCAACCUGCCCUUGUGUGGGGGAUACCGUCUGGAAACGGACGUUAAUACCGCAUAACGUAUUGGAGCUGCAUGGUUCCGAUACCAAAGAUUUAUUGCGCAAGGAUGGGCUCGCGUCCCAUUAGAUAGUUGGUAGGGUAACGGCCUACCAAGUCGACGAUGGGUAGCCGGACUGAGAGGUUGAACGGCCACAUUGGAACUGAGAUACGGUCCAGACUCCUACGGGAGGCAGCAGUGGGGAAUAUUGGGCAAUGGGCGAAAGCCUGACCCAGCGACGCCGCGUGAAGGAAGAAGGUCUUCGGAUUGUAAACUUCUUUUAUUAGGGACGAAUGAUGACGGUACCUAAUGAAUAAGCCACGGCUAACUACGUGCCAGCAGCCGCGGUAACAC